AGGCCAUGUUUACCAACUCCAUUGUAUUGUAGUCUCUCAAACAUUUCGUGCAGUGCUCUGCACACAGGAAGUGCUCAGUAUAUACCAUUGAUUGAUUGAUGGGAGUGCUUAAGGUAGUCUAUCAUGCUAUUGAUGCCUGUCUACUUGUUUUGUUGUGUGUCUCCCCGUUUUGGACUGUGAGUCUGUUAUUGGGUAGGGACUGUCUCUGUUGCCAAAUUAUACCUCCCAACCACUUAGUACAGUGCUGUGCACACAGUAAGUGCUCAAUAAAUAUGAUUGAAUAAAUGGGUCCAGAAGAUCAAAACAGCUGUAAGGAGCUGGCAGUGGUAAAGUAGAAAUAGAAAGAACAGGUGUGAAACCUUCUAGCCACAAGACUAUUUAAAUUUGACCCCCACUAGGUAUUACUUGGAAGAAGAAGAUCCUGAUCAGAAGAUUCUAGAGGAAAGAAGAAUUGCAGAAAAGGAAAAAAGAAAGAGAAGAGAUUUCGCAUUAUGAGGAUCCUUGCCACAGAGGCGGGCAACAGGAUUAGGGAGGAAGAAGAAAAAAACGAACAGAUGUUUCUAAUGUAUGAGGAUAAAGAGUAUUUUAAACUAGCCUUGGAUAAUAACCUUCAGGCCCAGAAAAGGGUGAUGAAGGAAGAAGAGGAGAAGCUAAGGAAGCAAUAUAGUUGGCAGCAGUCUCAGCCAGUGGCAUUAACCCAAGCACCAGAACUGGGUGAUCUUCCCAGAUGUGUACAGAAUUUCCAUGGCUGCUGGAAGAUCUGCACUCGUGGAGAGCCGUUGGAUACAUUUCUAAAGCUCCAGGCCCAGAUAAGAGAGGAAGAGUCAUUCAAGGAGCUUCCCCCGAUGUCUGGGAGGAGGGGAAAGGCUGUUUCUGAUAUUAGAUCCAUACAGACCUCAGCUCUUAAUCCAUUUCUGGGAUUCUGAGCCCCAAGCAUUGUCUCAAGUAAAUAAGGAUGUUUCCCGGCUUUUCUGGAGGAGACAGUCAACAGUACAGCAAGAUUCAGAGAAAGAGUGGAUGGGAAGUUCUGUAGAGACUUAAUUGUUAUUCAAAACUCUGUCUACUAGUGAUUUUUAAAUAUGAGUCAUUUGCUGCAAUUAAAACAUUAACUAUUCAUUAU
rnacentral:lncRNA from 1 species